GGGGAAUUGUUCGCAAUGGGCGCAAGCCUGACGACGCAACGCCGCGUGGAGGACGAAGAUCUUCGGGUCGUAAACUCCUUUCGAUCGGGAAGAACGCCUUCCGGGUGAAUAAUCCGGAAGGGUGACGGUACCGAGAGAAGAAGCCCCGGCUAACUCCGUGCCAGCAGCCGCGGUAAUACGUAGGGGGCGAGCGGUGUCCGGAGUUACUGGGCGUAAAGCGCACGCAGGCGGUGCUGCAAGUUUGGGGUGACAGCUCUCGGCUCAACCGAGAGAGCGUCUCGAAGACUGCAGGACUUGAGGGCCAGAGAGGGACACAGAAUUCCGGGUGGAGUGGUGAAAUGCGUAGAUAUCCGGAGGAAUACCAAAGGCGAAGGCAGUGUCCUGGCUGGCACCUGACGCUCAGGUGCGAAAGCUAGGGGAGCGAAC
rnacentral:rRNA from 1 species